ensembl:lncRNA
AUGAAUCAAUUAAAUGAAGGGUCCUCUCAGCUGAAGUCACCAACAGCCUCUGAGCUCCUAAGGAUUGCUGAGGUACUUGGAAGAUCCACAGAGACUAGGAGUUGUGGUCUUCCCUGUGUUAGCCAAGAUGACAGCAGUAGUCAAGAAGUGGAAAUGAAACAAUUUGUUAAAAAAGAAGACUGCAUAGACAGAGUCAAGAGCCCUUAAUAGGUACGUUAAGAGAUCAGGAAAAACAGAAAUCAGUGAAUGUCGAAUAAUUAGGAAGGCUUCCUCGAGAUUUAUUCUUUAUCUGAAGGGAAGGUCGAACUUGAAGGGACAGAGGGGAAGGAGAUAUUGGAGUGGUGAUGAAGGAGGGGUAGUGAUGGAAGGAUGCUUGGCUACAAGGAGACCUGAGUUCAUUGCAACAGACCACCAGGGCAACCGCAGUCCCUGAUGGCAGAGCCACAUCACUGUGCACAAGAGGGAUCUACCAAUUGCCCAGUGGACUUAAUGCUCAUUGUGUGUACAUGAUAAAGUUUACAUAUCAUGACAUUUAAGAGUAUACAAUUCAGUGGCAAUUUAGUGGUUCACUUUAAAAUAGCCACAGUGUUAAGCAACCAUCAUCGCUAUCAAAUUCCAGGACAGAUUUAUCACCCCAAAAGGAAACUCAGUACCCAUUAAACAGUCAUUCCCCAUUCAUUCCUCCUCCCCAAUUCCUUAGCAACCACUAAUCUCUCUGUCUCUAGGGACUUGCCUUUUCUGGACCUUUCAUGUAAAUGGAAUCAUUUAAUAUGUGGCUUUUUUGAUCUGGUUUCUUCACUUAGCACAAUAUUUUCAAGAUUCCUCCAUGUUGUAGCAUUUAUCAAAAAUUACAUGCCUUUUAAUAGCUGAAUAAUAUUCCAAUGUUUAUAUAUAUUACAUUUUAUUUAUCCAGUCAUCAGUUCAUGGACAUUUGAAUUAGCAACCUUCCACCUUUUGGCAAUUGUGAAUAGUAGUGUGCUGUGAAUGCUCAUUUACAAGUUUUUGUUUGAACACCUAUUUGCUUUUUUUUCCCACAGAUCAAAGUGUAUGUAUCAUGUACAACAAGAUGUUUUGAAGCAUAUAUACAUUGUGGAAUAGUUAAAUAUAACUAAUUAGUGAAUGCACUAACUACCACACAUAGCUAUCAUUUUUGUGGUGAGAAUACUUAAUAUUCACCAUCUUUGCAUUUUUCAAUAAUACAAUGUUUUAUCAUUAACUAUAGUCACAUUGGAUUUCUUGCCCUUAUUCCUCCUACUUAACUGUAAUUAUAUAUCCUUUGACCAAUAUCUCCCUAUCCCUUCCAUCCACCUAAAUAUCUCAUCAUCUGGUAACUACUAUUCUAGUCUCUAUUUUUUAUUUUUAUUUUUUGAGAUGGAAUCUUGCUCUGUCACCCAGGUUGGAGCAUAGUGGCAUAAUCUGGGCUCACCACAGUCUCUGCCUCCCAGGUUCAAGUGGUUCUCCUGCCUCAGCCUUCUGAGUAGCUGGGUCUACAGGUUCAUGCCACCACACCUGCUAAUUUUUUUAUUUUUGAUAAAGACAGGAUUUCAUCACGUUGGCCCAGCUGGUCUGGAACUCCUGACCUCAGGUAAUCCACCCACCUUGGCCUCUCAAAGUGCUGAGAUUAUAGGCAUGAGCCACCACCCCUGGUAGCUCUAGUCUCUAGUUUUAUGAAAUCAACUAUUUAGAUUCCACGUAUGAUAUGAUCACGUGUGAUUUGUCUUUCUAGACCUAGUUUAUUUUACUUACAUAAUGUUGUCCAGGUUCCUCCAAGUUGUUGCAAAUGACAGGAUUUACUUCUUGUUUAUGUCUGAAUAGUAUUCCAUUGUGUAUAUAUGUCACGUUUUCUUUCUUUUUCUUUUUUUAAAAAUUGAAACAGGAUCUUAACUGUGUCAUUCGGCUGGCAUGCAGUACUACAAUCAUAGCUCAUGGUGGCCUUGAACUCCUAGGUUCAAGUGAUUUACCUGCCUCACCCUCUUGAGUAGCUGGGACUUCAGGUGCAUGCCAAAUGCACAGCUAAUUUUUGGAAAUUUUUUUGUGAGACAGAGUCUCGAAACGUUUCCCAGGCUGGUCUCAAACUCCUGGGCUCAUGAGAUCCUCCCACCUAGGCCUCCAAAAGUGGUGGGAUUGCAGGCAUAAACUACUGCACUAAGCCUCAUUUUUAUUUUUAUUUUUUUAGAGAGAGGGUCCAACCCAGGCUGGAGUGUAAUGGCUAUUCAUAGGCAUGAUCAUGGCUCACUGUAACCUCAAAUUCCUGUGCUCAAGUGAUCCUCCUACCAUAGCCUCCUGAGUAGCUGGGACUACAGAUAUGUGCCACCAGGCCCAACACAUUUUUUUUUUUUAGGUAAACAUCUUAUCUCUCUUUUUAAAAUAUUAUUAUUAUACUUUAAGUUCCGAUGUACAUGUGCAGAAUGUGCAGGUUUGUUGCAUAGGUAUACAUGUGCCAUGGUGGCUUGCUGCAUCCAUCACCCCGUUAUC